AUACGGAGGGUGCGAGCGUUGUUCGGAAUUAUUGGGCGUAAAGAGCAUGUAGGCGGUCUGUUAAGUCUGGUGUGAAAGCCCGGGGCUCAACCCCGGAAGUGCAUUGGAUACUGGCAGACUUGAGUAUGGGAGAGGAAAGCGGAAUUCCGAGUGUAGGAGUGAAAUCCGUAGAUAUUCGGAGGAACACCAGUGGCGAAGGCGGCUUUCUGGACCAAUACUGCCGCUGAGAUGCGAAAGCGUGGGGAGCAAACAGGAUUAGAUACCCCGGUAGUCC
rnacentral:rRNA from 1 species